rnacentral:lncRNA from 1 species
CUCCACCGAAGCCAGCCAGGAAGACUGCAAGGUGACACCUCUGAAAUCCUGCCCGGCCCGACGGCGCAGAGCAUCACCCAGCUCACUUCCAGCCCGGACCGACGGCCAGGGACGGACACACGGCCGGGACGGGCUGCGCCUGGAAGCACCGGGCAGCAGGGGAACCCACGGCCUUGCAGCAAGAAAGAAAAUAAAAGCCUUACGAUAUCCGCGGCCCGCGACAGAUCGCCGUGUGCAGCUGCAGCCGCGCUGGGUUCCCAGACCUCCGCAGACACAGCCCUAAGCGAGGCGACAGGGCAGGCACGAGGCGGAGGAGCACAGCCUCAGGGCUGCCCGGAGGCACACUGUGCACGGCUUCAUGGUGUAACAGAAAACCCUUCACGAGCUCUCUCUAAUGAUUUAUUUUCUUCUCCUGUUUUUUUUGUUUUGUUUUUUUUUUUCCUCUCCCAAGGAGAAGAAAUUCAUUUUGAAUGUUUUCCCAGCUGCCAGACAAACCUGGAUGCCCAGCUGCCAUUGAGAGCCCAGGAGCUGCCGGACCAAGCCCAAGCUGACCAAAGUGUCCCAGCACUGAGGUUUUGUGCCUUUUUUAGUGUUUUUUUAUUUUAUUCUUCAAGACUGGCAGGAUUUUGGAGCAGAUUAAGAGAAGGAGGGAGCUCCCACGGGUCUCAAUUGGGACACACCGUGUGGAUGGGCCACGCGAAAACUCCCACGGCUCUGAAGGAAAGCUCUGCCAAAGACAAUUCCCAUCUUUCUGCUUUCUGGAGCACAAAGCAGGCCCAGCACCAUGGCACAGCAUCGCCCAGCACCACAGCAUCGCCCAGCACCACGCUGCUUGUCAGGAGCUUCUCCCUGAGCUGGCGAGCCCCCAAACUGCAGGGCAGGGUGACGGCAUGUCCUGAGCCCCGCAGCGUCCCCAGCUUCACCUGCCUGUCCCCUGCCAGCCGCUGCUACAUCCACGGUGGGCGCAAACCUCCUGUGAGUGAGGCACAUCGUUCACCCCAGCAGGGCCGAGGUGUGCCCGUAACGCACACCAUUACCAGCGACAGCGCUCCGUAUGAAUGA